rnacentral:tRNA from 1 species
GUUUUAGUAGUAUAAAUGUACAUUACUUUUUCAAAGUAAAGACGAAAUUUCUUUUCCUAAAAUA